UACGGAGGGGACUAGCGUUGUUCGGAAUUACUGGGCGUAAAGCGCACGUAGGCGGAUUUGUAAGUCAGGGGUGAAAUCCCGGGGCUCAACCUCGGAACUGCCUUUGAUACUGCAAAUCUCGAGUCCGGAAGAGGUGAGUGGAAUUCCUAGUGUAGAGGUGAAAUUCGUAGAUAUUAGGAAAGAACACCAGUGGCGAAGGCGGCUCACUGGUCCGGUACUGACGCUGAGGUGCGAAAGCGUGGGGAGCAAACA
rnacentral:rRNA from 1 species